ensembl:lncRNA
UUGUCAGACUGCCCCUCUGCUACCAUCUGUCACACAGCAACAGAGGUAAAGGAAUACUGGAAGGAAAGUUCAACUUCUAUUGCCAUACCACCAAUAUCUGCCUCUGAUGUUAUGAGCCAACAUAAUAAAGUAGGAGGCAAUACUUUUGGAGAAGCCCCAAAAAAUAUACAGUAUCAUUAAUAUAUUGUGGGUGCUAGAGUAACAUCAAGAGUGUUCCUUUAAGUCAAUAUGGACUAGCCAAUCAAAGUUGGGAUUGGCAGGAGCUACUUGCAAUUUUUAUACGGUUUACUUACCUAGUCUAAAGAAGAAUCUUAACAUGGAUGAAAAAUAAUGUUUUUUUUUUUUCCAAUGAGAGUUAAACCAUCACUGACAGAUAACUAUCCUGAACAACAAACCAGGGAGCUGUAACACCUGCGAUGAAAAGCAUUGAUGGAUCUAAUUCAAACACAUCUGGAAAUGUAUUGUUGACUUGAUCUGGAAUGGAGCAGAGGCUUAAAAGCCUUAGUGGUCAAGACAUAGGAGGGCUUUGUGAUUGGCAGGUUUCUACACCUAUGAAGUCAGCAAUUAUUUUGAGUGUUAAGAUAUGUUAGAAUAUGUUUUCUAACAAAUGCUUUUACGUCAAAAAGGUAAGAAUCUUCAAUGGGCUUUAGCUGUUUAACAGACUUUGACACUCUCAUGGAUUUUCAGAAAACAGAGUAAGUUUUGACAUAAGUUGGACCCUGUAAACAGAAUUGAGAAAUUCAGAAAUUACUGAAAAGGUUGAGAGACUAAAGAAAAUUGUCAUUAAGAAACUGUUUCAAGUAGAAGUGCAUUCACUCGAUUGACCAUGUAAAUACAGUGUUUUCUCAUUCCAGCACUACUUAACACUAUUCAGUGAAUU